CCAACUCUAGCUCAAACUAACCAAACACACCACUAAACUUCUCUAUAAAACAACUAAAACAUUUUCUGCACCUAGUAUAGGCGAUAGAAAAGUUACUUGACGCAAUAGAAAAUCCGUACCGUAAGGGAAAGUUGAAAUAAUAAUGAAAAACCAAGCAAAAAACAGCAAAGACCAGCCCUUGUACCUUUUGCAUCAUGAUUUAGCAAGAAUAACCAAGCACAGUGAACUUUAGCUUGCCAUCCCGAAACCUAUGCGAGCUACCUACAAGCAGCUAUUAUGAGCAAACCCGUCUCUGUGGCAAAAGAGUGGGAUGACUUGUUAGUAGAGGUGAAAAGCCAACCGAGCUAGGUGAUAGCUGGUUGCCUGCGAAACGAAUAUAAGUUCAUCCCUAAAUCUCCCCCUCAGAUAUACUAAUUCACUACAAUGAGAUAUUUAGGAGUAAUUUAAAGGAGGUACAGCUCCUUUAAACCAGGAUACAACCUAAACCAGAGGAUAACACAAACUACCCCCUUACAUGUAGGCCCUCAAGCAGCCAUCAAUCAAGAGUGCGUUAAAGCUCACAUAUCCAAAAAUACCAAAAACACUACGAACCCCUCACCACUAGUAGGCUAACCUAUGACUAUAGGAGAAUUCAUGCUAGAAUGAGUAAUUUGAAGACUACCCCUUCUCUAGGCGCAAACUUACAUCCCAAACUAUUAUUAACAGUACGACUUAUAUUACUAUCCCACAAGACCAAAUAUUUAAUCAAUCUGUUACCCCUACCCCGGAGCGCCCUCUAGAAAGAUUUAAGUCUGCAAAAGGAACUCGGCAAGCCUAAGGCCCGACUGUUUACCAAAAACAUAGCCUUCAGCCCACACAAGUAUUGAAGGUGAUGCCUGCCCAGUGACUAUAGUUUAACGGCCGCGGUAUCCUAACCGUGCGAAGGUAGCGCAAUCAAUUGUCUCAUAAAUCGAGACCUGUAUGAAUGGCUAAACGAGGUCUUAACUGUCUCUUGCAGAUAAUCAAUGAAAUUGAUCCCCCUGUGCAAAAGCAGGAAUACCAUCAUAAGACGAGAAGACCCUGUGGAACUUAAAAAUCUUGGACCAAUGCCACCACCCUCCCAACCUACAGGGCUCACUCUACUGCACCUUAUGGUCCUUAUUUUUUGGUUGGGGCGACCUUGGAGUACAGACAAACCUCCAAAAUAAGACCACCUAAUCUUAACCAAGACCAUACCCCUCAAAGUACUAACAGUAACCAGACCCAAUAUAAUUGACCAAUGAACCAAGCUACCCCAGGGAUAACAGCGCAAUCUCCUUCAAGAGCCCCUAUCGACAAGGAGGUUUACGACCUCGAUGUUGGAUCAGGACAACCUAAUGGUGCAGCCGCUAUUAAGGGUUCGUUUGUUCAACGAUUAACAGUCCUACGUGAUCUGAGUUCAGACCGGAGCAAUCCAGGUCGGUUUCUAUCUAUGCUAUUACUCCCCCCAGUACGAAAGGACCGGGGCAGUGGGGCCAAUAUCCACCGACACGCCCCCCUUCUAAUUAGUGAACACAACUAAACUAAUAAGAACGAAUCAAAUCACCGAACAUCCUAGAUAAAGGAUA
rnacentral:rRNA from 1 species